GAUGAAGAACGUAGCGAAAUGCGAUAAGUAAUGCGAAUUGCAGAAUUUCCGUGAGUCAUCGAAUCUUUGAACGCACAUUGCGCCCACUGGUAUUCCGGUGGGCAUGCCUGUUCGAGCGUCAUUAUCCUCCCUCAAACCCCGGGUUUGGUGUUGGACCCAAGUUGUGUGAACAACUGGUCUCAAAGACAAUGACGGCGUCCGUGGGACCCUCGGUGCAACGAGCUUUUAGGAGCACGCAUCGAGUUGCAAGGACCUUCCGGGCCGGUCUCCUUUACCAUUUUACAAGGUUGACCUCGGAUCAGGUAGGAAUACCCGCUGAACUUAAGCAUAUCAAUAAGCGAGGA
rnacentral:misc_RNA from 1 species